CCGCCCAGCACGGAGCAUGCGCAGGCCUCGGGAUCGCGGUGGGACCGGAAGCGCAGGCUGGAGUCUCCGGCUCCAUGCAGCCCUCAGGGAAGGCCGGUCUCUUCCAUCAGGCCUGGCCUUUGUCCCGCUGAAACAAAUAGUUGUCCUGGAGGAUUCUUUCCACCUUGUAAUAGAUAUGUUUUUGAAAGAUUCCUGACUGUGCUUCCUUAAGAUAAGCUGGUCUGUGUUUCCUGAACCCUUCCCACCCCGAGGUGCAGGCGGGAGUCACCCUCGGAAGGAGGAGCGUAGGUUGGAUGCUCUUCCAGACUGCAAGACGAGAAGCAACACCCACCUCUGCUGCUGGGGUCCCUGCAGCGUGCUUGUAACAAAGGCUGAAUGGAGCUCACAUUCAAGGUUUCUUGGGUCUAAGUCUUCUGGGAAGCUGUCUACGCUUUGGCUCAUGUAAACUCCUUAAAUCAUAUUUUGUGCCCACAGUCUUCUCCUUUUAUGUCAAGAGUCUCACUCUGUUGCUCAGGCAGCAGUGCAGUGGCGCGAUUUCAGCUCAUUGCAACCUCCACCUCCCAAGUUCAAGCGAUUCUCCUGCCUCAGCCUCCUGAUUACAGGUGCACACCAUCACACAUGCCUAAUUUUUGUGUUUUCAGUAGAGAUGGGGUUUCGCCAUGUUGACCAUGCUGGUCUCGAACUCCUGACCUCAUGUGAUCUGC
rnacentral:lncRNA from 1 species